UACAGAGGGUGCAAGCGUUAAUCGGAAUUACUGGGCGUAAAGCGUGCGUAGACGGUUACAUAAGUCGGGUGUGAAAGCCCCGGGCUCAACCUGGGAAUUGCAUUCGAGACUGCGUAGCUAGGGUGCGGAAGAGGGAAGCGGAAUUUCCGGUGUAGCGGUGAAAUGCGUAGAUAUCGGAAGGAACACCAGUGGCGAAAGCGGCUUCCUGGUCCAGCACCGACGUUCAGGCACGAAAGCCAGGGGAGCGAACGGG
rnacentral:rRNA from 1 species